rnacentral:rRNA from 1 species
UACAGAGGGGGCAAGCGUUGUUCGGAAUUACUGGGCGUAAAGGGCGCGUAGGCGGCCUUCUAAGUCGAACGUGAAAUCCCUGGGCUCAACCCAGGAACUGCGUCCGAUACUGGAAGGCUUGAAUCCGGGAGAGGGAUGCGGAAUUCCAGGUGUAGCGGUGAAAUGCGUAGAUAUCUGGAGGAACACCGGUGGCGAAGGCGGGUCUCUGGGCAACAACUGACGCUGAGGAGCGAAAGCGUGGGGAGCGAACAGG